rnacentral:rRNA from 1 species
UACGGAGGGUGCAAGCGUUACUCGGAAUUACUGGGCGUAAAGGAUGCGCAGGCGGUUUUGAAAGUCAGAUGUGAAAUCCUAUGGCUUAACCAUAGAACUGCAUUUGAAACUUCAUGACUAGAGUGAGGGAGAGGUAAAUGGAAUUAGUGGUGUAGGGGUAAAAUCCGUAGAGAUCACUAGGAAUACUCAUUGCGAAGGCGAUUUACUGGAACUUUACUGACGCUGAGGCAUGAAAGCGUGGGGAGCAAACAGGAUUAGAUACCCUGGUAGUCCACGCCCUAAACGAUGUACACUAGUUGUUGCGGUGCAAGUCAUCGCAGUGAUGCAGCUAACGCAUUAAGUGUACCGCCUGGGGAGUACGGUCGCAAGAUUAAAACUCAAAGGAAUAGACGGGGACCCGCACAAGCGGUGGAGCAUGUGGUUUAAUUCGAAGAUACGCGAAGAACCUUACCUGGACUUGACAUCCUAUAAAUGAUUUAGAGAUAGAUUAGUGCUAGUUUACUAGAAUAUAGUGACAGGUGCUGCACGGCUGUCGUCAGCUCGUGUCGUGAGAUGUUGGGUUAAGUCCCGCAACGAGCGCAACCCUCGUCGUUAGUUGCUAACAGUUCGGCUGAGCACUCUAACGAGACUGCCUUCGUAAGGAGGAGGAAGGUGAGGACGACGUCAAGUCAUCAUGGCCCUUAUGUCCAGGGCUACACACGUGCUACAAUGGGGAGGACAAUGAGACGCGAUACCGCGAGGUGGAGCAAAUCUAUAAACCUUCUCUCAGUUCGGAUAGCACUCUGCAACUCGAGUGCUUGAAGCUGGAAUCGCUAGUAAUCGUAGAUCAGCAAUGCUACGGUGAAUACGUUCCCGGG